rnacentral:rRNA from 1 species
UACGGAGGGUGCAAGCAUUAAUCGGAUUUAUUGGGCGUAAAGGGCGCGUAGGCGGACUUGCAAGUCAGAUGUGAAAUCCCGGGGCUCAACCCCGGAACAGCAUUUGAAACUACAGGUCUUGAGGGUAGGCGGAGAAAACGGAAUUCCACAAGUAGCGGUGAAAUGCGUAGAUAUGUGGAAGAACAUCGGUGGCGAAGGCGGUUUUCUAGCUUAUUUCCUGACGCUGAGGCGCGAAAGCAAGGGGAUCAAACAGG